rnacentral:rRNA from 1 species
UGAGGAAUAUUGGUCAAUGGCCGGGAGGCUGAACCAGCCAAGUCGCGUGAGGGAAGACGGUCCUAUGGAUUGUAAACCUCUUUUGUCAGGGAGGCAAAAACUGCCACGCGUGGCAGGAUGAGAGUACCUGAAGAAAAAGCAUCGGCUAACUCCGUGCC